GAUGAACGCUGGCGGCGUGCUUAAUACAUGCAAGUCGAACGAAGCACCUUGGACAGAAUCCUUCGGGAGGAAGACCAUUGUGACUGAGUGGCGGACGGGUGAGUAACGCGUGGGUAACCUGCCUUGUACAGGGGGAUAACAGUUGGAAACGACUGCUAAUACCGCAUAAGCGCACAGUAUCGCAUGGUACGGUGUGAAAAACUCCGGUGGUACAAGAUGGACCCGCGUCUGAUUAGCUGGUUGGUGAGGUAACGGCCCACCAAGGCGACGAUCAGUAGCCGACUUGAGAGAGUGAUCGGCCACAUUGGGACUGAGACACGGCCCAAACUCCUACGGGAGGCAGCAGUAGGGAAUAUUGCACAAUGGGGGAAACCCUGAUGCAGCGACGCCGCGUGAAGGAAGAAGUAUUUCGGUAUGUAAACUUCUAUCAGCAAGGAAGAAAAUGACGGUA
rnacentral:rRNA from 1 species